GUAAAAGCUAAUUUAAAUGGAAAAUUAUAAGUAAAUAUGUUUAUUGAGUGACUUAAUAUUAAAAUAGAUAAAUCUGAUAUCAUGCAAGGAAAAUGUACUAAAUUUAAUUCUACUCUAAAAUUAAUUAGGUAAAGAGAAAAAGAUUUAGUCAAGUCUUAUAUUUGACACAAAAUUCUUCUCCCAAAGUAACGUGGUACAACACCAAAGAGAAGAAAAGCUCCCACACAUUACUUACAAAAUUACAACAUUACCAAAAUGAAGAAUUAAAUUACCAACAUAUUUAUAUUGUCAUAAAAACCCCAUACUGCAUUUUCUUCUCUUUUCUUUAUAGGCAAAGAAAACUAACUAAGCCCUUGCAGCAUUUUAACUUUGCCACUCCGAUCCAAAAUUUUGCUGAUGUGAUAAACCACAUAACAGAGGCAGCACCAUUUACAUCCGCACCUGGUGCAUACACCCUCUCUUACAAUCACGUGACGCUCACUUUCUAUAUUAUAGGAAUGACCUACUUUCCUGUGAGAGAGAGCACCCGGUGUAUCUAAUAAUUAGCCUUUACAUCAUCCUUUUUUUUCUUUUUCUUUUUUUUAAUUUUAUUGACUUGUAGAGAAUCUUGAAUUCCAGUACUUCUCAAUUUCCUCUGCUGUUCUUCCAGGAAUUCUUCCAGCAAUUAGAGACCACCUACAAAAUUAAUCUCUCACCAACCAGAUUGUACAUCCUAGUAAUAAGGGUUUCUUCAUCCUCUGUGAAUUCAAGCUUAGUGUCUUGGCUGGAUUUCUCUGCAAUUGGUACCCCAAAAGAAAGCGAAAAGAGCUAUUAUUUUCAUAUGGGUAGUUUCAGGACAAGAAUAAUUAAUAUGUACCUGAUAAGGACAACAAAAACCCAGAAAAUUUUUCAUAUUUUCUAGAGGAAACCCAGUAAGCCUAUUGUUAGAAUCAAGAAAUGGUAAGAAAAGAAGAAAAAGAACCCAAAAUAGAUAGCAGAAAUCAAAAGAAAAGCAAUCAGAGUCGGCCUUUAUAGAUUUGAAAACUGCAAAAACAAAGGACCCAUGAAUUUCAGAAUAAAUACCUCUAGAAUCAACAGAGACAUCAUCACUAGAGGAGUGAUCCAAGUCAGCCAUUAGGAGUAGAAACUGUAAGCAAAGAAAAUGAAAUAAAGAGCCAACAGAUAGAAAAUUCUUCUCUUUUUUCUUGUUUCUGUGGUGAAGCUAAGGAGUGUGUGUGUGUGCGCUCUAUGGAUGAUAAUGAAAGGGUACUUAAUAAAUGGAGCGUAUGGAGGGAGAAGAAUGGGCGGUGUGAGAAUGGUAGUUGAAAGAAAGUGUUGCUAGUCCAACUUUGAUAGUUAGCUGAAACUUUAAAAGAAAG
rnacentral:misc_RNA from 1 species